rnacentral:lncRNA from 1 species
CAUGAUGAUUUAGUACUAUCAUAUUUUUGUGGGGGAGACAUAAUGGAUGCUCUCAAGAGCUAAUGGUUUUCCCACUCAUAAAGGCGUAGACAUCCACUCUACUUUUGGCAUGGUUCCAUCUGUGAAAGAGAAAGAAAACAUUGAUUCUCAUUCUUUAUCAUACCAGACAAACAUAAAUUUUAAAUUUAUGAUGAUAAGAAAAAAGAAUUGAGAAAAGAAAAAGCCAAAAUAAGUUUUCACGUCGGUUACCUUUUUUUGUUGAUUUAUAGCCACAACACAAAAGUUGUGGGUUAUUCUUAGUAUCUUUAAAAGAUUUGCGAUUGAUAAGCAACAAGAUUUUCAUGUGAGUAGUGACAUGAGUUGAUGAUAUCUUGGAUUGUUCUGGCGACUCAAUCAUCAAACCUCCUCCACCGUGCAUGAGAUUGGAUGAAUGAGAUCAAGUAUGAACAAUCCAAGAUGCACUGAUUACUAUUCAUCCC